UCCCUUGAGGACUAGUGGUUAGGCCACAGCGCUCUCACCGCUGCAGCCAGGGUUCGUUUCCCUGCCGGGGAA
rnacentral:tRNA from 1 species